UACGGGGGGGGCAAGCGUUGUUCGGAAUUACUGGGCGUAAAGGGCUCGUAGGCGGCCAACUAAGUCGGAUGUGAAAUCCCCAGGCUUAACUUGGGAACUGCAUCCGAUACUGGAUGGCUUGAAUCCGGGAGGGGGAUGCGGAAUUCCAGGUGUAGCGGUGAAAUGCGUAGAUAUCUGGAGGAACACCGAUGGCGAAGGCAGGUCUCUGGGCCACUACUGACGCUGAGAAGCGAAAGCAUGGGGAGCGAACAGG
rnacentral:rRNA from 1 species